rnacentral:lncRNA from 1 species
AGUUUAUACUUGGGUUUAGGUUUAAUGAUUAAGAUUUAGGGUUUAGUAUUUGGAAGGUGGGGUUGAUGUUUGGGUUUAGUGACCGUAUUAUGUAUGUUCCAUUUGACGAUUAAAAAAAAGUGUUUUUUUUGCUUACCAAUUUAUACUAUACUAUGUAUUUUGUUCCAUUCUAUUUGGGUUUAUAGUCUAUACUUGGGUUUAGAGUUUAGUGAUUAGGAUUUAGGGUUUAGUAUUUGGAAGGUGAGAGUUUAGGUUUGGGUUUAGUGAUAGCAUUUUUGGGUUUAGUAUUCAAAAGUUAGGUUUGAGUUUAGCAUUGAGGAGUUUUGUUUGGAUUUAGUUUAAUAUUAUAUAAUAUUAUAUACUAUUUUCAGAUUUUGAUAAUUGAGUUUAAGGUUUAUAUUUGGGUUUAGGGUUCAGUAAUUAGGGUUUAGGGUUUAGUAUUUAGAUGGAAGGGUGAUGUUUAAAGUUUAGGGUUUAUUAUUUUGGAGUUGAGGUUUGGAUUAAAGUUUAGUAUUUACUAGGUGUGAGUGGAUUUUGAAUCCUAUUAUUUUUAGUAAUAUGGUAUAGAAAAAUUAGAUGUAUAUUUAUGUGUUAAACAAAAGUGUGGUGUUGAUUGAAUUACGUGUGAUAAUUAAUUGUGGGGUGUCAAAUUGUUGAUGUCAUCAGUUUCUCUCUCUAUUACUGGCAACUUGAACAAAAAAGGGCAUUACCAGAUAGAAGUUGACAUAAUUGUUAUGAGCUUUAUUAUGUCAAAAUCAAUGCUAUGCACUUAAUUUCCUUCUCAAAUUUGGUCAUUUGGCUAAUUCACCCUU